UACGGGGGGGGCAAGCGUUGUUCGGAAUUACUGGGCGUAAAGGGCGCGUAGGCGGUUUGCUAAGUUGGAUGUGAAAACUCUGGGCUUAACCCAGAGCCUGCAUCCAAAACUGGCAAACUUGAGUACUGGAGGGGAGAGCGGAAUUCCUGGUGUAGCGGUGAAAUGCGUAGAUAUCAGGAGGAACACCGGUGGCGAAGGCGGCUUUCUGGACAGUAACUGACGCUGAGGCGCGAAAGCUAGGGGAGCAAACAGG
rnacentral:rRNA from 1 species